rnacentral:rRNA from 1 species
AGAAUGAACGCUGGCGGCGUGCUUUACACAUGCAAGUUGAGCGAGGCCGGUAGCAAUACCGAGUCGAGCGGCGAACGGGUGAGUAACGCGUGGAUAACCUGCCCUGAGGUGGGGGAAUAACCCGGGGGAAACUCGGGCUAAUACCGCAUGAUACCGAGAGGUCAAAGAGGGCUCGCAAGGGCUCUUGCCACAGGAGGGGUCCGCGUUCGAUUAGCUAGUUGGUAGGGUAAUGGCCUACCAAGGCGACGAUCGAUAGCCGGCCUGAGAGGGUGAUCGGCCACACUGGAACUGAGACACGGUCCAGACUCCUACGGGAGGCAGCAGUGGGAAUUUGCGCAAUGG